AUAUUAUGCAAUACUAAUUAUAAGAAAUUUAAAAUUAAUAAAAUGGAAUCAUCAUCAUCACCACCACAAGAAUGCUGCUUUCACGAUGGCAAUAUCACCGACUUCAUUCAUUCACGCACUCUACACCUCGGUUCCGAUGUGGAUCGUGAUCGUCGUCUGCAAUUGCAUUCAUCAUUAAUUAGAAGGCUUUCCCUAGAAAGAGAACUGGAGGCGCACGAGGGAUGUGUAAAUAGUAUCGCUUGGAAUUCAAAUGGCUCACUAUUGGUGUCUGGGUCUGAUGACACUCGUGUCAAUAUUUGGAGUUAUGAAAGACGCAAGCUAUUAUAUUCCAUCGACAGCGGUCACACUGCAAAUAUAUUUUGCACCAAAUUCGUCCCCGAAACAUGCAAUGAGUUGGUUGUAUCUGGAGCUGCUGAUGCAGAAGUUCGGCUAUUUAAUUUGUCUCGCUUAGAAGGGAAGGGUGUUGAAGCUAACUCUAUUAAUCCAUCAGCACUGUUUCAAUGCCACAGCAGGCGAAUUAAAAAGUUAGCUGUAGAGCCUGGGAAUCCCAAUAUGGUCUGGAGUGCCAGCGAGGAUGGGACUUUGAGGCAACAUGAUUUCCGGGAGGCCACUUCUUGUCCUACUUCUGAAUCUUCUGACCGAGAAUGUCGCAGUGUAUUACUUGACUUGCGAUGUGGAGCAAAGAAGUCAUUAGCCGAACCUCCUAGACAAUCACUUGCACUAAAAUCUUGUGAUAUUAGCAGCACAAGGCCUCAUUUGCUUCUUGUUGGUGGGAGUGAUGCAUUUGCGCGUUUAUAUGAUAGACGGAUGCUUCCACCAUUAUCCUCUUGUCGGCAGAAGUUAACACCGCCUCCAUGUGUCAGCUACUUCUGCCCAAUCCACCUUUCUGAUCGUGGACAGCAAAGUUUGCAUCUAACUCAUGUUACCUUUAGUCCCAAUGGCGAGGAGAUUCUUCUCAACUAUAGUGGAGAGCAUGUGUAUUUGAUGGAUGUAAAUCCUGUUCACUCAAGUGCUACGCGAUAUACCUCAGACGAUGCAAUGAAGUUUUUCAAUCCAACUGCUAUACUGAAGGAAGUGCAAGCUAAACCACAAGUCUCUGAUAUCUUAAAUCAUUUUCCUGCAAAGAGGAACCUUGCUCCCAGGCUUGAUAAAUGCCGAAAACUGCUUCAGAUUGCAGAGAAGUCUUUAAAAGAGGGUGCCAACUAUUAUUAUGGUAUUGAGGCUUGCAAUGAUGUUUUGCAUGGUCAUGGUCAGAUUGGUCACACUUUGAUGCAUGAAACUUUGUGUUUACGCGCAGCGUUGCUUCUCAAGCGAAAUUGGAAAAAUGAUGCUCAUAUGGCUGUAAGAGAUUGCUGUAAAGCCGUGGAAAUAGAUCCGUCUUCAUUUAGAGCCCUCAGCUGUAUGGCCGAAGCUCUAUCACAGUUGGAUAAACACCAAGAAGCUAUGGACUUUGCCAUUGCUGCCCAGUUUGUCGCUCCAACAAAUCCUGUAGCUUCUGAGAUCGUCGCGAACAUAAAGAAACGAAUUACAGAAGAAGCUGAAGUUUCAAAAAGGGAAAAGGAAGAAGCUCCUAGUUCUGAAACGCAGACUAGUAGAGUAUUAUCUCUUAGUGACAUACUCUAUCGGUCAGAUGCAAGUAGUGAUACUUCACAUCCUAUGUCUGGAAGAGAAGACUCUGAUUAUGAGGAGUUGGAAGUUGAUUUUGAAACUUCAAUAUCAGGUGACGAAAGCCAUGAAGUUGAAUCUAACAAUUUUCAGCCACGUUUAAAUGUCAGAAUCCACAGAAAACGAGAAUCAGCAAUGAAUAAUUGUCAUACAAACAGCUCAUCCGGUUCGCCUAAGUCAUCUCCUAGAAGUGACAGAAUUAGCCGUCAGCAUGCGAGGGGAAUAGAUAUGAAGCAAAGAUAUGUUGGUCAUUGUAAUAUAGGGACAGACAUCAAACAAGCCAGUUUCCUUGGACAAAAAGGUGAGUACAUUGCUAGUGGAAGUGAUGAUGGGAGAUGGUUUAUUUGGGAAAAGAGCACCGGUAGACUAAUAAAGAUGCUUAUGGGGGAUAGUGCUGUUGUAAACUGUGUGCAAAGUCAUCCUUUCGACUGUGUUGUAGCUACUAGCGGGAUAGAUAAUAGCAUCAAGAUUUGGACCCCGCAUGCUUCAGCUCCAUCCGCUGUUGCCGGAGGUACAGCUGGACCCGAAACUGCUGAUAUUUUAGACGCAAUGGAAGGCAAUCAACGCAGACUAUCCCAUAACCGUGAAUCGUUAUUAUGUUUAUAUCUGCAGGCCAUUAGAGAUAUUAGAAGGGUUUCGGAUGCAUGAGUUUCCUGAAGGAUCGUUGCGCCCAUUUGAGUGUGUACAAAGCUAGCUUUCAUUGAGCUUCCAGAUAUUAAGCAAAACAUCCACUUGUUUUCAGGUAUUGGGAGUAGUUGUCUUUUGUUUAUAUUAUGUUCCUAUCACUGGGUUGCAUCAUGGGUUGGCUCUUGCUGUAAUUUUUGGUCCUCUAUGUAACUAUUACUUUGUUUACUCCUAAAGUAUUAAAUUUAUAUAAUAUGUAUAUGUGUACAGUGUAUACUUCAUUCUGAUGAAUUACUAUAUAUCCUCUUUGCAUUGUAUGUUUCGAA